ACGGGAGGCGGCAGUGGGGAAUAUUGCACAAUGGGCGAAAGCCUGAUGCAGCGACGCCGCGUGAGUGAUGAAGUAUUUCGGUAUGUAAAGCUCUAUCAGCAGGGAAGAUAAUGACGGUACCUGACUAAGAAGCACCGGCUAAAUACGUGCCAGCAGCCGCGGUAAUACGUAUGGUGCAAGCGUUAUCCGGAUUUACUGGGUGUAAAGGGAGCGCAGGCGGUACGGCAAGUCUGAUGUGAAAGCCCGGGGCUCAACCCCGGUACUGCAUUGGAAACUGUCGAACUAGAGUGUCGGGGGGGUAAGUGGAAUUCCUAGUGUAGCGGUGAAAUGCGUAGAUAUUAGGAGGGACACCAGUGGCGAAGGCGACUUACUGGACGAUAACUGACGCUGAGGCUCGAAAGCGUGGGGAGCAAACAGGAUUAGAUACCCUGGUA
rnacentral:rRNA from 1 species